rnacentral:rRNA from 1 species
GAUGAACGCUAGCUACAGGCUUAACACAUGCAAGUCGAGGGGAAACGAUAUUGGAAGCUUGCUUCCGAUAGGAGUCGACCGGCGCACGGGUGAGUAACGCGUAUCCAACCUGCCCACCACUUGGGGAUAACCUUGCGAAAGUAAGACUAAUACCCAAUGAUAUCUCUAGAAGACAUCUGAAGGAUAUUACAGAUAUAUCGGUGAUGGAUGGGGUUGCGUCUGAUUAGCUUGUUGGUGGGGUAACGGCCCACCAAGGCGACGAUCAGUAGGGGUUCUGAGAGGAAGGUCCCCCAAAUUGGAACUGAGCAACGGUCCAAACUCCUACGGGAGGAAGCAGUGAGGAAUAUUGGUCAAUGGGCGAGAGCCUGAACCAGCCAAGUAGCGUGCAGGAUGACGGCCCUACGGGUUGUAAACUGCUUUUAUAAGGGAAUAAAGUGAGUCUCGUGAGACUUUUUGCAUGUACCUUAUGAAUAAGGACCGGCUAAUUCCGUGCCAGCCGCCGCAGUAA